rnacentral:rRNA from 1 species
CCUACGGGUGGCUGCAGUCGAGAAUUUUUCUCAAUGGGCGAAAGCCUGAAGGAGCGACGCCGCGUGGGGGAUGAAUGGCUUCGGCCCGUAAACCCCUGUCAUUUGUGAACAAUUUGCUCCGCCUAAUAUGCGGAGCAUUGAUAGUAGCAGAAGAGGAAGGGACGGCUAACUCUGUGCCAGCAGCCGCGGUAAUACAGAGGUCCCAAGCGUUGUUCGGAUUCACUGGGCGUAAAGGGUGCGUAGGUGGUUGGGUAAGUCUGGCGUGAAAUCUCCAAGCUUAACUUGGAAACUGCGUUGGAUACUAUCUAGCUAGAGGAAUGGAGGGGAGACUGGAAUGCUUGGUGUAGCAGUGAAAUGCGUAGAUAUCAAGCGGAACACCAGUGGCGAAGGCGAGUCUCUGGACAUUUCCUGACGCUGAGGCACGAAAGCCAGGGGAGCAAACGGGAUUAGAUACCCUUGUAGUC